rnacentral:rRNA from 1 species
UACGGAGGGAGCUAGCGUUGUUCGGAAUUACUGGGCGUAAAGCGCGCGUAGGCGGCUUUGUAAGUUAGAGGUGAAAGCCCGGGGCUCAACCCCGGAACUGCCUUUAAGACUGCAUCGCUUGAAUCCGGGAGAGGUGAGUGGAAUUCCGAGUGUAGAGGUGUAAUUCGUAGAUAUUCGGAAGAACACCAGUGGCGAAGGCGGCUCACUGGACCGGUAUUGACGCUGAGGUGCGAAAGCGUGGGGAGCAAACAGG